rnacentral:rRNA from 1 species
GUACACUCCUGCGGGAGGCAGCAGUGGGGAAUCUUGCGCAAUGGGCGAAAGCCUGACGCAGCCAUGCCGCGUGAAUGAUGAAGGUCUUAGGAUUGUAAAAUUCUUUCACCGGGGACGAUAAUGACGGUACCCGGAGAAGAAGCCCCGGCUAACUUCGUGCCAGCAGCAGCGGUAAUACGAAGGGGGCUAGCGUUGCUCGGAAUUACUGGGCGUAAAGGGAGCGUAGGCGGACAUUUAAGUCAGGGGUGAAAUCCCGGGGCUCAACCUCGGAAUUGCCUUUGAUACUGGGUGUCUUGAGUAUGAGAGAGGUGUGUGGAACGCCGAGUGUAGAGGUGAAAUUCGUAGAUAUUCGGAAGAACACCAGUGGCGAAGGCGACACACUGGCUCAUUACUGACGCUGAGGCUCGAAAGCGUGGGGAGCAAACAGGAUUAGAUACCCCAGUAGUCCCAUGA